rnacentral:rRNA from 1 species
AGAUUAAGUUAUUAAGGGCGCACGGUGGAUGCCUUGGCACUAGAAGCCGAUGAAGGACGUUACUAACGACGAUAUGCUUUGGGGAGCUGUAAGUAAGCUUUGAUCCAGAGAUUUCCGAAUGGGGAAACCCAGCAUGAGUUAUGUCAUGUUAUCGAUAUGUGAAUACAUAGCAUAUCAGAAGGCACACCCGGAGAACUGAAACAUCUUAGUACCCGGAGGAAGAGAAAGAAAAUUCGAUUCCCUUAGUAGCGGCGAGCGAAACGGGAAGAGCCCAAACCAACAAGCUUGCUUGUUGGGGUUGUAGGACACUCUAUACGGAGUUACAAAGGACGACAUUAGACGAAUCAUCUGGAAAGAUGAAUCAAAGAAGGUAAUAAUCCUGUAGUCGAAAAUGUUGUCUCUCUUGAGUGGAUCCUGAGUACGACGGAGCACGUGAAAUUCCGUCGGAAUCUGGGAGGACCAUCUCCUAAGGCUAAAUACUCUCUAGUGACCGAUAGUGAACCAGUACCGUGAGGGAAAGGUGAAAAGCA